rnacentral:misc_RNA from 1 species
AGUCGUAACAAGGUUUCCGUAGGUGAACCUGCGGAAGGAUCAUUAAAAAAUUGGACUCCAUUGGUGAGUUCAUUAAUAAUCCCUACCCUUUGUGAAUUUGUUUGUUUGAAUAAUUUUUUUUCCAAAAAAAAUUAUUGAAUGUCUUUCCUUGUUUUGGUGGAGCUUGUAAAGUGAAACCAGGCAGGGGAAUGGCAAACAAUAAUUAUUUUUGAAAAAGACCUUUUUUUAAAAUUAAACUUUUUGUAUUCGUUUGUCUAAAAUUAAUUUUUAUAAUAUAAAAACAACUUUUGACAAUGGAUCUCUUGGUUCUCGCAACGAUGAAGAACGCAGCAAAAUGCGAUAAGUAGCGUGAAUUGCAGAAUACGUGAAUCAUCGAAUCUUCGAACGCAUAUUGCACUUUUUUAGUUUACUAAAAAAGUAUGUCUGUUUGAGUAUCAGUAAAAUAUUCUCAUAAAAAACAUUGUUUUUUUUAUGGUUAUGAGUGUUUUACAACGAUAACAAGUUGUUUCACUUUAAAUUCUUUGUUAUCAAAAAAAUCAUUAAAAGCUAAUUUUAAAGAUUUUUUAAAAUUGGAUAAAAUUUUCCCGUAAAAAGGAAUAACCUAAACAAUUUUAAAAAAAUUAAAAUUGGUUUGAUUUUUUUUGAAACCCAAAGGAAAAAAAACGAAAUUAACUUGAUCUCAAAUCAGAUAAGAGUACCCGCUGAACUUAAGCAUAUCAAUAAGCGGAGGAAAAGAAACUAACUAGGAUUCCCUCAGUAACGGCGAGUGAAGCGGGAAGAGCUCAAAUUUGAAAUCUUCAAGGUUUUACCUUGACGAAUUGUAGUUUAAAGAAGUGUUUUCUGUUGGAGUUUUGGUAAAAGUUCUUUGGAAAAGGACAUCAUAGAGGGUGAGAAUCCCGUAUUUGACCAUUAUCUCCAGCUUUGUGAUACACUUUCAAAGAGUCGGAUUGUUUGGGAAUGCAGUCCAAAAUGGGUGGUAAAUUUCAUCUAAAGCUAAAUACUGGCGAGAGACCGAUAGCGAACAAGUACCGUGAGGGAAAGAUGAAAAGAACUUUGAAAAGAGAGUUAAACAGUACGUGAAAUUGUCAAAAGGGAAGCGUUUGACACCAGUGUUGUUUUCUCGAAAAUCAAUUAAAAAAGGCCGGAUUUUGUGUUGUAUUGACUUUAUCAGCUUUCUGCACUCUUUUCUUGUCUUUUUUAAUGCACUUUUCGUUUAACAAGUCAACAUCAAUUUCUUUUGUUGUAAAAGGGUCAUUGGAAGGUGGCUUUCUUUUCGGAGAAAGUGUUUAUAGCCUUUGGCCUCUGCAAUCGGAGAGAUUGAGGUCUGCAGCGUAGAUCCUUCGGGGUUAGAUACAUUUGUGCUAAGUUAUAGCCUUUCAUAGACAACUUGUUGACUAUGAUCAGUCAUGUAGCUUACUCGCUUAUGCUAUUUUACCUACGCUUAGGAUGUUG